CAGUAGCCGCGGGAAUACGUAGGGUGCAAGCGUUAAUCGGAAUUACUGGGCGUAAAGCGUGCGCAGGCGGUUAUAUAAGUCAGAUGUGAAAUCCCCGGGCUCAACCUGGGAACCGCAUUUGAGACUGUAUGGCUAGAGUGUGUCAGAGGGGGGUAGAAUUCCACGUGUAGCAGUGAAAUGCGUAGAUAUGUGGAGGAAUACCGAUGGCGAAGGCAGCCCCCUGGGAUAACACUGACGCUCAUGCACGAAAGCGUGGGGAGCAAACAGGAUUAGAUACCCCCGUAGUCCCUGUCUCUUAUAC
rnacentral:rRNA from 1 species